rnacentral:sRNA from 1 species
UACAAUUCCAAACGUGUCUGACGGUAUUC